AUUGAACGCUGGCGGCAUGCUUUACACAUGCAAGUCGAACGGCAGCGCGCGCUUCGUCCUGGCGGCUAGUGGCGCACGGGUGUGUAAUGCAUGGGAACGUGCCCAGCUGUGGGGGAUAGCACGGCGAAGGCAGGAUGACUACUGCAUACGAGCUGCGGGUGAAGGCGGGGGGGCGAAGGGCAUCGUGCUCUGGUGGGGGUGGACGUGGGGUUUGCUAGUUGGUGGGUUGAGGGCUUACUAAGCCGAGGAUCCGUGGCUGGUCUGAGUGGACGACCGGCCACACUGGAGCUGGGACACGGCCCAGGCUCCUACGGGAGGGAGCAGUGGGGAACUGUGGACAAUGGGGGCAACCCUUAUCCAGCCAUGCCGCGUGCGGGAAGAAGGCCUUCGGGUUGUAAAGCGGUUCUGUGCGGGAAGAAACCCUCUGGGCUAAUACCCCGGGUGGAUGACGGUACCGGAAGAAUAAGCACCGGCUAACUACGUG
rnacentral:rRNA from 1 species